rnacentral:rRNA from 7 species
GAGCAUGUGGUUUAAUUCGAAGCAACGCGAAGAACCUUACCAGGUCUUGACAUCCUGUGACAACCCUAGAGAUAGGGCUUUCCCUUCGGGGACAGAGUGACAGGUGGUGCAUGGUUGUCGUCAGCUCGUGUCGUGAGAUGUUGGGUUAAGUCCCGCAACGAGCGCAACCCUUGAUCUUAGUUGCCAGCAUUCAGUUGGGCACUCUAAGGUGACUGCCGGUGACAAACCGGAGGAAGGUGGGGAUGACGUCAAAUCAUCAUGCCCCUUAUGACCUGGGCUACACACGUGCUACAAUGGACAGAACAAAGGGCUGCAAGACCGCAAGGUUUAGCCAAUCCCAUAAAUCUGUUCUCAGUUCGGAUCGCAGUCUGCAACUCGACUGCGUGAAGCUGGAAUCGCUAGUAAUCGCGGAUCAGCAUGCCGCGGUGAAUACCUUCCCGGGCCUUGUACACACCGCCCGUCACACCACGAGAGUUUGCAACACCCGAAGUCGGUA